GUUGGGCAUGGUGGCUCAUGCCUGUAAUCCCAGCACUUUGGGAGGCUGAGGUGGGAGGAUCACUUGAGUCCAGGAGUUCGAGGCUGCAGUGAGCUGUGUUCACGCCACUGCACUCCAGCCUGGGCAAUAGAGCGAGAUUCCAUCUCAA
ensembl:misc_RNA Metazoa_SRP Metazoan signal recognition particle RNA